CCUACGGGCGGCAGCAGUGGGGAAUAUUGCGCAAUGGGCGAAAGCCUGACGCAGCGACGCCGCGUGAGGGAUGAAGGUCUUCGGAUCGUAAACCUCUGUCAGCAGGGAAGAACGGUCACUGUGUUAAUAAGCCGUGAAUUGACGGUACCUGCAAAGGAAGCACCGGCUAACUCCGUGCCAGCAGCCGCGGUAAUACGGAGGGUGCGAGCGUUAAUCGGAAUUACUGGGCGUAAAGCGCUCGUAGGCGGUAUGUCAAGUCAAGGGUGAAAUCCCCGCGCUCAACGUGGGAACUGCCUUUGAAACUGGCAAACUGGAGUGUGUGAGAGGAUAGUGGAAUGCCAGGUGUAGGAGUGAAAUCCGUAGAUAUCUGGAGGAACAUCAGUGGCGAAGGCGACGAUCUGGCACAUAACUGACGCUGAGGAGCGAAAGCGUGGGUAGCAAACAGGAUUAGAUACCCUGGUAGUC
rnacentral:rRNA from 1 species